GACGAACGCUGGCGGCGUGCUUAACACAUGCAAGUCGAACGGAAAGGCCCUGCUCUUGUGGGGUGCUCGAGUGGCGAACGGGUGAGUAACACGUGAGUAAACUGCCCUUGACUUUGGGAUAACUUCAGGAAACUGGGGCUAAUACCGGAUAGGAUCUCCUGCUGCAUGGGGGGGGUUGGUAAGUUUCGGCGGUUGGGGAUGGACUCGCGGCUUAUCAGCCUGUUGGUAGGGUAGUGGCUUACCAAGGCUUCGACGGGUAGCCGGCCUGAGAGGGGGACCGGCCACAUUGGGACUGAGAUACGGCCCAGACGCCUACGGGAGGCAGCAGUGGGGAAUAUUGCGCAGUGGGCGGGAGCCUGAUGCAACAACGCCGCGUGCGGGAUGACGGCCUUCGGGUUGUAAACCGCUUUCGCCUGUGACGAAGCGGGAGUGACGGUAAUGGGUAAAGAAGCACCGGCUAACUACGUG
rnacentral:rRNA from 1 species